rnacentral:rRNA from 1 species
GACGAACGCUGGCGGCGUGCCUAAUACAUGCAAGUAGAACGCUGAAGGAGGAGCUUGCUUCUCUGGAUGAGUUGCGAACGGGUGAGUAACGCGUAGGUAACCUGCCUGGUAGCGGGGGAUAACUAUUGGAAACGAUAGCUAAUACCGCAUAAUAGUAGAUGUUGCAUGACAUUUGCUUAAAAGGUGCAAUUGCAUCACUACCAGAUGGACCUGCGUUGUAUUAGCUAGUUGGUGAGGUAACGGCUCACCAAGGCGACGAUACAUAGCCGACCUGAGAGGGUGAUCGGCCACACUGGGACUGAGACACGGCCCAGACUCCUACGGGAGGCAGCAGUAGGGAAUCUUCGGCAAUGGACGGAAGUCUGACCGAGCAACGCCGCGUGAGUGAAGAAGGUUUUCGGAUCGUAAAGCUCUGUUGUAAGAGAAG